rnacentral:tRNA from 1 species
UGCGGUGUGGCCAAGUGGUAAGGAAAUGGGUUUUGGUCCCGCUAUGCGGAGAUUUGAAUCCUUCCAUCCUAG